rnacentral:sRNA from 1 species
UUUUAGCCCCGAUGGUAGCGACAUCCUUUAUCUUUUCUUCACGAAAAGAUAAAGAUACAGCGGACAGCGGGACGGGUU